UGGGGAAUAUUGCACGAUGGGCGCAAGCCUGAUGCAGCCAUGCCGCGUGUGUGAAGAAGGCCUUCGGGUUGUAAAGCACUUUCAGCGGGGAGGAAGGCGUUAAGGUUAAUAACCUUGGCGAUUGACGUUACCCGCAGAAGAAGCACCGGCUAACUCCGUGCCAGCAGCCGCGGUAAUACGGAGGGUGCAAGCGUUAAUCGGAAUUACUGGGCGUAAAGCGCACGCAGGCGGUCUGUCAAGUCGGAUGUGAAAUCCCCGGGCUCAACCUGGGAACUGCAUUCGAAACUGGCAGGCUAGAGUCUUGUAGAGGGGGGUAGAAUUCCAGGUGUAGCGGUGAAAUGCGUAGAGAUCUGGAGGAAUACCGGUGGCGAAGGCGGCCCCCUGGACAAAGACUGACGCUCAGGUGCGAAAGCGUGGGGAGCAAACAGG
rnacentral:rRNA from 1 species